rnacentral:rRNA from 1 species
AUUGAACGCUGGCGGAAUGCUUUACACAUGCAAGUCGAACGGCAGCACGGGUGCUUGCACCUGGUGGCGAGUGGCGAACGGGUGAGUGAUACAUCGGAACGUACCCUGACGUGGGGGAUAACGUAGCGAAAGUUACGCUAAUACCGCGUACGUCCUGAGGGAGAAAGCAGGGGAUCGUAAGACCUUGCGCGUUAGGAGCGGCCGAUGGCGGAUUAGCUAGUUGGGAGGGUAAAGGCCUACCAAGGCGACGAUCCGUAGCGGGUCUGAGAGGACGGCCCGCCACACUGGAACUGAGACACGGUCCAGACUCCUACGGGAGGCAGCAGUGGGGAAUUUUGGACAAUGGGCGAAAGCCUGAUCCAGCCAUUCCGCGUGAGUGAAGAAGGCCUUCGGGUUGUAAAGCUCUUUCGGCAGGGAAGAAACGGUUUUGGAUAAUACCCAGAACUAAUGACGGUACCUGAAGAAGAAGCACCGGCUAACUACGUGCCAGCAGCCGCAGUAA